rnacentral:rRNA from 1 species
AGCGAACGCUGGCGGCAGGCUUAACACAUGCAAGUCGAGCGGGCGUAGCAAUACGUCAGCGGCAGACGGGUGAGUAACACGUGGGAACGUACCGUUUGGUUCGGAACAACACAGGGAAACUUGUGCUAAUACCGGAUAAGCCCUUACGGGGAAAGAUUUAUCGCCGAAGGAUCGGCCCGCGUCUGAUUAGCUAGUUGGUGAGGUAAUGGCUCACCAAGGCUACGAUCAGUAGCUGGUCUGAGAGGAUGAUCAGCCACACUGGGACUGAGACACGGCCCAGACUCCUACGGGAGGCAGCAGUGGGGAAUAUUGGACAAUGGGCGCAAGCCUGAUCCAGCCAUGCCGCGUGAGUGAUGAAGGCCCUAGGGUUGUAAAGCUCUUUCGGCGGGGAAGAUAAUGACGGUACCCGCAUAAGAAGCCCCGGCUAACUUCGUGCCAGCAGCCGCCGUAAGAC